rnacentral:rRNA from 1 species
GAUGAACGCUGGCGGCGCGCCUAACACAUGCAAGUCGAACGGUUAAAGCACCUUCGGGUGUGUAUAAAGUGGCGAACGGCUGAGUAACACGUGGGCAACCUGCCUCUUGCUCUGGGAUAGCCUCGGGAAACCGAGGAUAAUACCGGAUACUCCGUACCUUUCGCAUGGAGGGGACGGGAAAGCGUAUACGGCAAGAGAUGGGCCUGCGGCCUGUUAGCUUGUUGGUGGGGUAACGGCCUACCAAGGCAAUGAUGGGUAGCUGGGUUGAGAGACCGACCAGCCAGAUUGGGACUGAGACACGGCCCAGACUCCUACGGGAGGCAGCAGUGGGGAAUCUUGCACAAUGGGCGAAAGCCUGAUGCAGCGACGCCGCGUGCGGGAUGAAGGCCCUAUGGGUUGUAAACCGCUUUCAGCAGGGAAGAGGCCGCAAGGUGACGGUACCUGCAGAAGAAGCCCCGGCUAACUACGUG